rnacentral:rRNA from 1 species
AGCGAACGCUGGCGGCAUGCCUAACACAUGCAAGUCGAACGCCAGCACAGUAACAUCCUGCUCUUACGGAUUGCGAGUCGCGGACGUGUGACGAAUACAUCCUACUCUACUUUUUCGUGGGGCUUAUCGUAGGGAAACUUACUCUCAUACCGCAUACGACCUUCCGUUGCAUUCACUUAAUCUUCGGACCUUCCUCACUUCAAUGAGCCGAUGUCUGAUUAGCUAGUUGGCGGGGUAAAGGCCCACCAAGGCGCGGAUCCGUAGCUGGUCUGAGAGGAUGAUCAGCCACACUGGAACGGAGACACGGUCCAGACUCCUACGGGAGGAAGCAGUGGGGAAUAUUGGACAAGGGGGGAAAGCCUGAUCCAGAAAUACCGCGUGGGUGAAGAAGGCCUUCGGGUUGUAAAGCCCUUUUGUUGGGAAAGAAAAGCAGCAGGUUAAUACCCCGAUGUUCUGACGGUACCCAAAGAAUAAGCAACGGCUAACUUCGUG